rnacentral:ncRNA from 2 species
AAGGUUAUAGACAAAUAAGGUUCUUAAAUUAAUUUUUAAGAUUAAAAGGGAAACCGGUGAAAAACCGGCACAGCCCCCGCUACUGUAAUUGAGUUUGUUUAUCAUAAUGCAUCUAUGUAUUGGAAGCAUAAGCCACUGUUAAUAUGGGAAGGCGAUAAACUUUAAAUCAUAAGUCAGGAGACCUGCCUAUUUGUAUUACGAAAU